UUCCGGUUGAUCCUGCCAGAGGCCAUUGCUAUCGGAGUUCGAUUUAGCCAUGCUAGUCGCACGGGUUUAGACCCGUGGCGAAAAGCUCAGUAACACGUGGCCAAACUACCCUAUGGAUCGGAAUAACCUCGGGAAACUGAGGUCAAUUCCGAAUACAGCUCCUGCACUGGGAUGUGCGGAGCAAGAAAUGCUUCAGCGCUGACGGGACUUCGUCCCGUCGCGCAACGAGACGCUUCGCGUCUCUUCCGCGCCAUAGGAUGUGGCUGCGGCCGAUUAGGUUGACGGUGGGGUAACGGCCCACCGUGCCCAUAAUCGGUACGGGUUGUGAGAGCAAGAGCCCGGAGACGGUAUCUGAGACAAGAUACCGGGCCCUACGGGGCGCAGCAGGCGCGAAACCUUUACACUGCACGACAGUGCGAUAAGGGAACUCCGAGUGCGGAGGCAUAGAGCCUUCGCUUUUGUACACCGUAAGGUGGUGCACGAAUAAGGGCUGGGCAAGACCGGUGCCAGCCGCCGCGGUAAUACCGGCAGCCCAAGUGAUGGCCGAUAUUAUUGGGCCUAAAGCGUCCGUAGCUGGCCGGACAAGUCCGUUGGGAAAUCCGCGCGCUCAACGCGCGGGCGUCCAGCGGAAACUGUCCGGCUUGGGGCCGGAAGACCUGAGGGGUACGUCCGGGGUAGGAGUGAAAUCCUGUAAUCUCGGACGGACCGUCUGUGGCGAAAGCGCCUCAGGAAGACGGACCCGACAGUGAGGGACGAAAGCCAGGGUCUCGAACCGGAUUAGAUACCCGGGUAGUCCUGGCUGUAAACGAUGUCCGCUAGGUGUGACGCAGGCUACGAGCCUGCGCUGUGCCGUAGGGAAGCCGUGAAGCGGACCGCCUGGGAAGUACGUCUGCAAGGAUGAAACUUAAAGGAAUUGGCGGGGGAGCACUACAACCGGAGGAGCCUGCGGUUUAAUUGGAUUCAACGCCGGAAAUCAC
rnacentral:rRNA from 1 species